rnacentral:rRNA from 1 species
UCUUCCCUCUGGCGGCGUGCCUAACACAUGCAAGUCGAACGAAAAGACGAGGAGCUUGCUCCUUUGACGUUUGCGGCGGGCGGGUGAGUCACACGUGGAUCACCUACCUAUAUGACUGGGAUCACUUCGGGACACCGGCUAUAAUACCGGAUAAUCUCUUGCACCGUAUGGUGCAAUGGUGAAAGACGGCUUUUCUGUCACGUAUCGAUGCAUACGGGCUGCAUUGGCUAGUUGGUAGGGACAAGGCCUACCAAGGCAACGAUGCGUAGCAGACCGGAGAGGGUGAUCGGCGACACGGGAGCUGGACCGCGGACCUGGCGCCUACGGGAGGCCGCAGUAGGGAAUGUUACGCAAUGGGCGAAAGCCUGGCGGAGCAACGCCGCGUGAGUGAUGAAGGUCUUCGGAGCGUAAAGCUCUGUUAUUAGGGAAGAACAGAUGUGUAAGUAACUAUACACGUCGUGACGGUACCGAGUCAAGAAGCCACGGCUAACUACGUG